rnacentral:rRNA from 1 species
UACGAAGGGGGCUAGCGUUGCUCGGAAUCACUGGGCGUAAAGGGUGCGUAGGCGGGUCUUUUAAGUCAGGCGUGAAAGUCCUGGGCUCAACCUGGGAACUGCGCUUGAUACGGCAGAGCUAGAGGAUGGAAGAGGGUCGCGGAAUUCCCAGUGUAGAGGUGAAAUUCGUAGAUAUUGGGAAGAACACCGGUGGCGAAGGCGGCGACCUGGUCCAUUACUGACGCUGAGGCGCGACAGCGUGGGGAGCAAACAGG